CCUGGUGGCUCAGAUGGUAAAGAAUCUGCCUGCAAAGCAGGAGACCAGGGUUCGAUCCCUGGGUCAGGA
rnacentral:tRNA from 1 species